GCUGAGACUGAAGAAGUCACUUGGAUUAGUGGUGAAACAUUUCUCCCACUGAAAAUGCUAUGUCCAGAUGAACAGAAUCAGCCUUUUCGGAUUCACUCUAGCAUGCAACUCAAAAAAACCCAAACCUUACCUAUCAUUUUCUCUGCCCUGUAUUACAAAGAAAGUUCACCAUACCUAGGGUAUCUUUCCUUUUUUCACUUACCCUGAUAUUAAGUCAGGCUAAUUAAUGGCAUCAAGCUGGGUAUUAAUCAGUCACGAUUUGUUGGUGUUGUUACCAACAUGACAUGGGUCUGUCUGCAGUAUUUGUAUACUUCUAAAAUCCCAAAAAGUUCUGUUCAUCUCGACAUAAGGUUUUCAGUGGAAGAAACGUUUCAUCACUCAUCAAGUUACUUCUUCAGUCUCAGCUGACUGCAGGUUUCCCCAAAUCUUAUAAUAAUUUAUAAUUUGUCAAGGGUUCAUCCUACAUCAAGAAGAUGACCCAAAAAAUAAUUCCAAUCUAUGCCAGAACUACCUCAGGGAAAAGGUACAAGAUGGUAAGCUUGAAAACAAGGAGUGGCCAGUAAAGUCUCCAGACUUAAACCCCAUUGAGAUGGUUUGGGAUGAACUGGACAGAAGAGAGAAGGCAAAGCAACCUGCAGGUGCCACAUUCGUGGGAACCUCUGGAGCAGAUAUGGGAGGAACUUUUUGAAGAAUAUUUGAUUUCUAUUGUAGAAAGAAUGCUGUGUUUAGUGUUCAGGAUAGGUACGUUAUUUCCUGGAAUAACAGCAAGUCAGGAAAGAAAGGUAGAUUGUGAGAUUGGUCAGAGUCAUCAUCAGCUGUUAUCACUGCCAAAGGUGGCUACUUUGAUGAGUCUAAAGUUUGGUCUAUAAAUUUAUUUCAUGAUUUCUUGUUUACCUCCAAUUGUUUAUUUGUUCUGUGCUUUCAUUUCAGAGUAUGAGAAACUGAGCUGUAUGGGUCCUCAAAAUAUUAGGGAUUAUUAGGGAUUAGGGUGCCACAACAACAGUCUGUAAGGUAGAAAACUUACAAUAAUAUUAGAACUAUGUCAUUGAAAUGGAUCCUAUCUCUCCCCCACAGCUUGCCUGAACGUAAAUCCCAUCAGCUCUCAGUUCUUUAAAGGCAACUUUGUGUGCCUCUGAGCAACUUUAUGAUAUUGCUUUUAAAUAUCCUAGGAACAACAUGUCACCUAGCACCAGCAUGGUACUAAUGAUAUUUGGACUGAUCCCCCCACCUCUACGAUGUAAUUACACAAAACUAAGAUUGUGGAACAGGUGAAAUAAUUUAAAACAUGCACAUGCAGGAUAUAUGUUAAAGGGGUGGUCAAAAUAAUAAGGCUAGUUUUCAAAUGUUGACUACUGAUGGUAUUAUUCUAGAACCACUAUUUUGUUUUGUUAAAAAUCGAUUCAUAUCAUCCCCUCUCCUUCCCAGCUCGUCUGACUGUGAGUCCCAGCAGCUCUCAGUUCUUUAAAGACGACUUUGUGUCUCUGAGCUGUGAGGAGGACGACAGCUCUGCUGGAUGGACUCUGAGGAGAAACACAAGCAAACGACAGAGGACUCAAUGUGGAGAUGGGUGGGGAAAACCAGCCGGUUCUUCCUGUAAAAUGAGCUACAUUAAUCCACUGGAAAGUGGAGUUUACUGGUGUGAGUCCAGAGAGGGUCCCAUCAGUAACAUGGUUAACCUGACAGUCACUGGUGGAUCAGUGAUCCUGCAGAGUCCUGUCCUCCCUGUGAUGGAGGGAGAUGACGUCACUCUGCUCUGUAAAACAAAGACCACUCCCUCCAACCUCCCAGCGGCUUUUUUCAAAGAUGGCGUCUUCAUUGGGAGGAAUAACUCUAAAGGCCAUAUGACCAUCCUGCAUGUUUCCAGGUCUGAUGAAGGCCUCUACAAGUGUGACAUCAGCGGUCAUGGAGAGUCUCCAUCCAGCUGGAUCACUGUCACAGGUGAGGAACUUCACUCUGAUUACACCUCUUAUUUGUUCAAUAUAGUCACCUGAACAGGUAGGAUUGUCUCUGCAGGAAAGCCUACAUCCACAGCCAGACCUACAACCACAUCUCGCCUGAUUUCUGGAGCUUCAUAUCCUGACUUAACAUUAAUGUGCCACCUGGUGGUGUGUAGUCCAUAUUUCAUCUACACCCUUCUCUCAUGGUGUUUUUAUAGUGAGCCACUAUAGGAAAUGACUUACCCAUCCUCAAGGAGUUAACCCUACCCACAGAGGCCGAGUAAAGACAGGAUGAGGAGGUCAAUAAUGUAACCAAAAGCUUCACUUGAACAAACACAAACUGGAUGAACACAGUGUGGUUUCUCUCAACUGUUUCUAUUUUGCUUUUGUUUAAAUGUUUACUUUUUACAACUUCAUGAACCUUUGUCUGUAGAUUUUUUUACAGUUCAUUAUAGUAUGGCUCUUUUUGCCAUCUCAUUUCUGAAUGAAGCAGUAGACUCAAUUUCAGAGUAAAAGACAUUACAUCUAAAUAAUUCUUUAAGGCUACAGUUAAAAAGCUAUGUUAAGUCAAAAUACACAGUUGUUCUGUGGCUUUGGUGCUUUUUUGUUUUUAUUUUAUUUUGUGUGCGUAGCCAUUUCCCUCAUCGAUGUGUUUCAAAAAUUGUGGUUUUGGCUGUCUGUUGAUGUCAAAUUUCUGGAUCACCUCAGAAUGCUUGGAACCCUGCCCGAGUAGGUACUAAAAAGUACCUGGUACCAGGUAUUUAAAUCUGAUGGAUCCUAGAAACUAUAUUGAGCCAUGCCGAGGUGACCCAAAUAGGUAAUAAUGGAAAAGGUCUAAUAGUCUCUACUCAAAGCUCAUGCAACCAGAAUGCUCAUACUCUUGAGUUUAUUCUGUAUUUCUAGCCAUGAUCUUGCCUCAGUGUUUCCUCCAAUAUAGGUUAGUCUCGUCUUCAUGUGCACCUGUCUUGUCCCCCCUAGUCAGUCUAUGUACUUCCUGCUUAACUUUGAUAGUCUCCCGCCAGUGUACGUCACAUUGUCCUUCAUCCCUCUUUGUGUGUUUUCACCUGCUUAGUUAUCUUGUUUAGUUUGAUGUAUAUUUCCAGUUUAGCUUUGUAUUUUCUAGCUACCAGCAUGAGGGUGGCAAAGAAAUCAAAUGGGGUGGCAAAGCCUUUUUUAAUAAUAAGGCUUGUAAUCUCUCUGUGUUCCUCUGUGUGUAUUUAAGUUAUGUCUUCUUAUGUUGUAGUCGCUGGUCUGGCUGCGUAUCUACCGUGUGUUUUCCCUGCUGUCACCAUCCUGUACCUUUGUCUACACUCCUUCAUGUUCUGGUUGUUGUUUUGCAGUUUUAGUAUUGUCCCAGUUUAGUUUUGCAUUUGUUCGGUUUUGCGAUAUUUCACCGUGUGCUUUAUUUUCAAUAAACCACCUCCACAUCUCAGUGAGUGCACUUGGGUCCUCCUUUAUUUCUCCACACGGCUCUUCUCACUUGCCGUGACACGUACUGUGUAGCCUUUAUAAUAACUAGAUAUGC